rnacentral:rRNA from 1 species
GACGAACUGUCCAAACGUUGUUCGGAAUUACUGGGCGUAAAGGGCGCGUAGGCGGCUCGCUAAGUCGGAUGUGAAAACUCUGGGCUCAACCCAGAGCCUGCAUUCGAAACUGACGAGCUCGAGUUCUGGAGGGGAAAGCGGAAUUCCUGGUGUAGCGGUGAAAUGCGUAGAUAUCAGGAGGAACACCGGUGGCGAAGGCGGCUUUCUGGACAGAAACUGACGCUGAUGCGCGAAAGCUAGGGGAGCAAACAGG